AUCAACUUCGUUGCACAACACGAAGCACCCAAAGCAAUGACACUGGAGGAAGUCAAAGAAGAAACUCAGAAAGACCAUACCCUACAAAAGCAUGAAACUGUUCUCUGCCACCAGUACAAGGAGAUAAUCAACGGUGUACAAGCAACCCUUCAGCUUCAAUUGUCUGGAACCUGGUGGUGUUGUGGCCAAGGAGCUUUCACUCAGAUGGAACCAGGUUUCAGCUGCUGUGCAAUGUUGACGUCCACAAUUGGCCCAGUGUCGUCUGGGUUAGGGAAGGGUUUGGCCGGG